GAUGAACGCUGGCGGCGUGCCUAAUACAUGCAAGUCGAGCGAACAGACGAGGAGCUUGCUCCUCUGACGUUAGCGGCGGACGGGUGAGUAACACGUGGAUAACCUACCUAUAAGACUGGGAUAACUUCGGGAAACCGGAGCUAAUACCGGAUAAUAUAUUGAACCGCAUGGUUCAAUAGUGAAAGACGGUUUUGCUGUCACUUAUAGAUGGAUCCGCGCCGCAUUAGCUAGUUGGUAAGGUAACGGCUUACCAAGGCGACGAUGCGUAGCCGACCUGAGAGGGUGAUCGGCCACACUGGAACUGAGACACGGUCCAGACUCCUGCGGGAGGCAGCAGUAGGGAAUCUUCCGCAAUGGGCGAGAGCCUGACGGAGCAACGCCGCGUGAGUGAUGAAGGUCUUCGGAUCGUAAAGCUCUGUUAUUAGGGGAGAACAAAUGUGUAAGUAACUAUGCACGUCUUGACGGUACCUAAUCAGAAAGCCACGGCUAACUACGUG
rnacentral:rRNA from 1 species